rnacentral:rRNA from 1 species
UACAGAGGGUGCGAGCGUUAAUCGGAAUUACUGGGCGUAAAGCGUGCGCAGGCGGUUUUGUAAGACAGGCGUGAAAUCCCCGAGCUCAACUUGGGAAUGGCGCUUGUGACUGCAAGGCUAGAGUAUGUCAGAGGGGGGUAGAAUUCCACGUGUAGCAGUGAAAUGCGUAGAGAUGUGGAGGAAUACCGAUGGCGAAGGCAGCCCCCUGGGACGUCACUGACGCUCAUGCACGAAAGCGUGGGGAGCAAACAGG